AUUGAACGCUGGCGGCAGGCCUAACACAUGCAAGUCGAGCGGAUGAAGGGAGCUUGCUCCUGGAUUCAGCGGCGGACGGGUGAGUAAUGCCUAGGAAUCUGCCUGGUAGUGGGGGAUAACGUCCGGAAACGGGCGCUAAUACCGCAUACGUCCUGAGGGAGAAAGUGGGGGAUCUUCGGACCUCACGCUAUCAGAUGAGCCUAGGUCGGAUUAGCUAGUUGGUGGGGUAAAGGCCUACCAAGGCGACGAUCCGUAACUGGUCUGAGAGGAUGAUCAGUCACACUGGAAAUGAGACACGGUCCAGAAUCCUACGGGAGGCAGCAGUGGGGAUUAUUGGACAAUGGGCGAAAGCCUGAUCCAGCCAUGCCGCGUGUGUGAAGAAGGUCUUCGGAUUGUAAAGCACUUUAAGUUGGGAGGAAGGGCAGUAAGUUAAUACCUUGCUGUUUUGACGUUACCAACAGAAUAAGCACCGGCUAACUUCGUG
rnacentral:rRNA from 1 species